UACGAGGGGGGCAAGUGUUGUUCGGAAUCACUGGGCGUAAAGGGAGCGUAGGCGGAUGUUUUAAGUCGGGAGUUUAAAACCGGGGCCCAACCCCGGAGCGGCUCCCGAAACUGGAUAUCUUGAAUAGGUCAGAGGCUGGUGGAAUUGGAGGUGUAGCGGUGGAAUGCGUAGAGAUCUCCAAGAACACCUAUUGCGAAGGCAGCCAGCUGGGACCAUAUUGACGCUGAGGCUCGAAAGCAUGGGGAGCAAACAGG
rnacentral:rRNA from 1 species